UCUGAAAACGAAAUUGCUUUCUUUUGGUUUAUGGCGAGUGACAUUUAUAAGGUUAAGGCAAAGUAUAAGCAAAUGUAAUGAUUAUUCUAAGUUAUAAAUAGAUCUCAGGAAAUCACAGGAGUAAUUCUUUAGUUUUCAUGUAUUAUCUACUGUUUUAAAUUAACAAUAUUGAACUAUUUAAAGCUCCGACUACACAACAAAAAUGUGACAUCCACAACCUCCACGGGGAAGUUCUCUUUAAACAAGAAGAAGGUGCCAGCAAUCAUUAAAGAUCUACACAUUGCUAUACAAUGGGUUGUCAAGAAUGAGGCACUGUUCUGUGGGCGCAUAACCAUGCCAAGUUAUGUGUCAAUGAAUGAAGAUGACCGCCAGAAGGCCAUAGAUAACGUGAUGCAAAGAGAAGAACCAGAAGCAAGGGAGCCAUUCCUCUUUGUAUUUCAGCACAGAGAAGAUAUGGAGUUGUUUUUGCAGGCAUGUCUUGACCAACAGGGCCUCCAAGUUAAUGCCAUGUUCAACAAAUGACUGAUGGACAAGGGGUGGUGGUGUGUUUCUGUUUAAAUUAUUGAUAAUAAUAAAAAAAAUAAGAUAAUUAACACCA